rnacentral:rRNA from 1 species
GACGAACGCUGGCGGCGUGCCUAACACAUGCAAGUCGAACGGGAUCCAUGGAGUGCUUGCACUCCGGAAGAUCUAGUGGCGAACGGGUGAGUAACACGUGAGAAACCUGCCCCAGACUCUGGGAUAACCUCGGGAAACCGAAGCUAAUACCGGAUAUUCUCCUUUGGUCGCAUGGCCAGUUGAGGAAAGUUUUUCGGUCUGGGAGGGUCUCGCGGCCUAUCAGCUAGUUGGUGGGGUAACGGCCCACCAAGGCUACGACGGGUAGCUGGUUUGAGAGAACGAUCAGCCACACUGGAACUGAGACACGGUCCAGACUCCUACGGGAGGCAGCAGUGGGGAAUCUUGCGCAAUGGGCGAAAGCCUGACGCAGCAACGCCGCGUGCGGGAUGAAGGCCUUCGGUUGUAACCGCUUUCAGCAGGGACGAAAUAGACGGUACCUGCAGAAGAAGCCCGGCUAACUACGUG